AAGAGUUGUAAAACUCCCUUAACCCUUGUGAACCUACCUAAACGUCGUUGCUUCGGCGGGUAGCCCCCACAGGGGCCCAGCCUCCCAGCGAGGUACCCGCCGGAGGACCAUUUCAAAAUUCUUGCAAUUAGUGGCCUCUCUGAGUAUUAAAACAAAUAAGUUA
rnacentral:misc_RNA from 1 species